CCACUGUUGAUUUUGCUUAUGCGUGACGGCAGCCUUAAGGCAGAACCUUUGUGAUUCUAUUAUUGGGGUGAACGGACAAAAAUAUGGAGAGGCUCCAUACUAUUUUGGCCUCAUGUAUCUCUGCUGAGCCUCAAAUAAGCUAUGCAUCGUCGUGGUCUUUUCAGCAGCAGUAAGCCUCAGAGCGCUGGAAAGAAGCAAGAGCCUCUGCCAUGAGCCUGCUGUUAUCAGAUUUGAUCUUGGUAUCAAGGUAUGCAGGGCCGGUUUUAGCUAUGGGCAACGUGGGCGACCGCCGAGGGCGCAGUCUCCAUGAGGGCGCUCAAGCGGCCCCCAAAUAAAUUCGCCUCCUGGGGGGUUCGCCCAGGGCCCAAAUGUGGCCAGAACCUGCGCUGAUGGGCAUUAUGACUUGCAUCAGUCACUAUAUCUCUGUGAAUCAUGUCAGCAGCAGUGGACCCCCAAUUUAAAGGACCCCCUGAGGAGUGGAUAUUGGCCGGCGACUGUCCACACUGCACAUAUUGGACCUCCUUAGCUCCUUUCAGAACCUCAGGUUUAUCUCUCUGGGAUUCUCCAGACAGGUUUUUGCUGCUGCUGGAGCAUCGCACAAAGUGUGGAGGAAGAGUCCAAGGGCCUGUGUAAUCCACAAACUUUUUUACUCAUCAAGGAGAGUAAUGAAAAAAGAGGAGAUUGAAGUCAAAGAGAAAGAAAUCCUUGAUAUUUUUCCAAAGACUACUGUUGAGCUUCCCGAACCCCCGAAGAUCCAGAGUAUAUGGAAUCUAAGAUUUCUCAAAGGGCCCAUUCUUGUCUUAAAGAUGAGAAACGUGGCCACAGUGGACAAAUCAAAGAAUUUGUCCCAAACAUGUCUGAUUUUCUGUGGUGCAAACACUCUUCUUUGACGUUCUGGGGUUUCCAGAAGUCAUUGAGGAAAAGAUUGAAUAAGUCAUCCAGAAAAAGACUGACAAAGUCAUCGGGGAUGACACUGAAUACGAUUACCAGGAGACUACUGACGAACUUCCAAAAGAAUUAAGAGCUAAUGCUUCUCUUGAAGAGACCUUGAAAAAGGAAAAAUCUAGAGCUUAACAGGAAGAGGUUCUUGAGCAGGAGCGGGAAGAAAAAGAGGAAAGAAAGUGGAAGCUGAAAAAGAUGAUCUUCCUGCUGUAAUCAACUUCAUGAAAGCACAAGUGGCUUAAGAAGUCACAGAUGUCGCUUCAGGAGACGCAUGAAAAGCAAAGAUGCACAAUCACUGCAAUGACAGCUGAAUUUGAAGAGAGGAAGAAGCUGAUCAUUGAGCUCCAAAAAGAUCUAGAGGCAUCCACUCUUCAGCAUGAAAAAGAAAUGGCUGAGAGUCAGUCAGAUUGUGCUGAAGUUAUAAAUUGCUAAAUGAACAUCUCAUUCAGCAACAGGAGAAAAGUCAAUCUCUAUGUCAAAUUUCAGACUUUUCAAAUGACUAUUGAAGCCAAGGACGUCAUAAAAAAGGAAAGGAUGGGGCGGCGUUUAGCUCAGUAGGUAGAACAGCCGCCCCAUAUGAGAAGGCUCGCUGUGGAGGCCCAGGCUCGAAUCCCGACCUGUGUGGCCCCUUCCCGCAUGUCAUUCCCCCUCUCUCUCGCCGCGUUUCCUGUCGAUCUUCAGCUGUGCUAUCUAUAAAGGCAAAAGGCCAAAACAAAAAACAAAAAAACAGGAAAGGACUCUGAGUUGCAGUUUUUCCUCAUCCAAGUCAAAGGUCUAAGGAUAGAUGGCAUAUGUGCUACUGGAUGUGACAUUAAUAAGUUGCAUUAAUAAAAUCUGCAACAAUAAGAAAAAAUAAAAUCUGUCCUCCUUUACACAGUAGCUCCUCACCAAAAUGCAGCCAGAUAAUUGUUGAAGCAAGCAAGAAAGAAAGGUGUAUUAUAUAAUAUUUCUUCUGAUCCAUCUUUUUACCAAAUGUAGUUCUGUCAUUAAUUAUUCUCAUUUUAAAGAAAAUACAUGAUGGUCUGUAAUAAAUAUUUUGUAUUUUCUUCAAUGCUUUGGCCUAGGGUUCAAAUAAAUUUCCACAUUUAGAUAUGUCUUUCUGUGAGCCAAUCUUAAAUACAUAAGAACAACACAUAGUGAAAAGCAAAUCCAAUGUACUCUAUAACUUACAUUGGAUUACGGUACGUUACCCAUGUACAGUGUUAUGACCCAGGGUCAUUAUUUAGUGUUAUGUUAUUUUUGUGUUAUUGUUCCUCCCUGCCUAGGGGUGGUGCUACCACCUUAGGGUCUCUCCCUCUCUCCAGGUGCUGCCUGCCAAUUGGUUAAUGGACUGGUGGAUCAGCUAUAAAUGGCCGCCGCUGGAUUCAUUCGGCCUCUUCUCUUGACCUUGCUCCCAACUGCACCAGGCCGUGUUGUACUGUGUUGUACUGUGUUGUACUGUGUUGUACUGUGUUGUGUUCUGUGAAGUUGUACUGGUCUGCUUUAGCAGACUUUAGCUUAGCAGUCCAGGUAGUAGCUCUUUUGGUUUGUCUCCUUUUUUCUCCUGUUUAUUUUAUAGGGAGGCAGGUUAGAAACCUGUAUUUUGUUUUCCUUGUUUUGGUUAGGUAAGUUAGUUUGGGUCAGAUUGUUUUGUUUGUUGUUUUGGGCCCUCCCUGAAGCUUUAAACUACCACUUUUGAAAUAUUAACAAUAAUAAUUGAAUAAAUGAUCUUUGGUUGGACUGCAGCUCUGUGGCCUUGGUCAUUCUUGGGAGUGGGGAAAGAGGGGAGCGUCCUUUUCUUGUUAUGUUCGGUUCCCCUAGGCCGGACGUAACAUGAAGUGGGGGCUCGUCCGUUUUUUCUCUAUUGAUCUGUGUUAGUUCGCUUUGUUUCCCCACUUGUAGUCUUUGCUUGUCUGUUUGGCAGUUUUUUUUUGUGGUGGUGGCGGAAGUGAAAUGGAGUUCAAAUUAGCGGAGUUUGUGGCUAAUCCGACCCCAGAGGUGUUAAAAAAGUGUAAAAGGGCUGAUUUGUGCCUUAUCGCUAGUUCAUUUGGUGUGCAUGUGUCAUCUAACGCAAAGAAGGAAGAGUUAUAUGAUCUGCUCUAUGAGAAGUUGACAGAAAGGGGAUGGAUUGGGGAGCCAGCUCCCACAGAUGGAGUUGAGCUGGGUGUUCUGGCUGGUGUUCCUACCACAAUCCCAACCUCCCAGUCCCAAACUGGCAUGAAUGCCGAGGAGCUAAGGCUCACCCUGGCCAAAGAGUGUGUGGCCUCUGCUACUCCAGUGUAAGUUAGUUGGGAAAGCACAGGAAGUGUGCAA